rnacentral:rRNA from 1 species
GAUGAACGCUAGCGGCAGGCUUAAUACAUGCAAGUCGUGGGGCAGCAUGAAUGUAGCAAUACAUUUGAUGGCGACCGGCAAACGGGUGCGGAACACGUACACAACCUUCCUUUAAGUGGGGAAUAGCCCAGAGAAAUUUGGAUUAAUACCCCGUAACAUAUAGAAGUGGCAUCACUUUUAUAUUAUAGCAGCAAUGCGCUUGAAGAUGGGUGUGCGGCUGACUAGAUAGUUGGCGGGGUAACGGCCCACCAAGUCGACGAUCAGUAACUGGUGUGAGAGCACGACCAGUCACACGGGCACUGAGACACGGGCCCGACUCCUACGGGAGGCAGCAGUAAGGAAUAUUGGUCAAUGGACGCAAGUCUGAACCAGCCAUGCCGCGUGGAGGAUGAAGGUCCUCUGGAUUGUAAACUUCUUUUAUCUGGGAAGAAAUCUACCUUUUCUUGGGUAGUUGACGGUACCAGAUGAAUAAGCACCGGCUAACUCCGUGCCAGCCGCCGCGGUAACAC